GAUGAUAAUAGAUGAAGAAUCUGGAAUAUUUGGAAGUUCAGGGAAACUUCCGUGGAAACUCCUCGAGUAAAAACUGCAAUAAAAGCCGCAGGUAGCGCUUGCUUGACUGCUUCAGUCACUGCACUGGAGCAAGUUACGGCAUAUCCUUGAGAAAGCACAUUAAGGAGACACUUACAGAAGACUUUUGGACUUUCUAUUCUACCUUUUUUACGGUUUAUUGUGUGGGAAUAUACGUACAGGUGCAAUAAAAUCUCGUAUAAAAGCUGCAUGUACUUACGGCAGACAAACAUUGACCGAAAGACAAACGAGGAGAAAUCAAGACGACGAAAUCAAGAUGUUUUGUGAAUCUACUCUGUGGAACAUGGGAUGUGAUGAGGAUCUUCAGACGACCAGGGAUCCCAUAUGCCUGGUAGAGAUCUCAUCGUGCAGAUCUGUGUCCAUUGAGGAUAUGAAUGGAGAACGGUGGAUAUCUGAAUCCCAAAUGCCAUCCAGACAGGAUCACAGGAUCAUCAGUAAACCACAAACGACAGCCAAGAGCCGAAUCUUCCAUUCUACAAAGUUUUGGACCUUCCUUCAGUUCAAGACGCCCACAAGAGCAUGAAGGGAAAAAUAACCGUCUGCUUUCAAAAAGACUUUUAAAAAGGACAUGCACAAUUGCACAUUAAUCUAUACUGUACAGUAUGUAAAGAAGCUUUAAAUCAAUGGCUGUUGCCUUCAACUUCCACCAGAGGGCAAUAAUGAGUCACUGCCACUGUAUGUGUUGACAAGGUUUUGUUUGAUCAAUCAGCUCUUUGUAGUAUUUUACUGUAGGGUUGAGUUUGUUUGAUCUGGGUGACUAUAAUUUUCCUGAAAAUUAAAUAUUAAGAGAACAUCAAUCAAAGUUUCGUUUCCCACUUCAAAACGAAUCAAAAUGCAUUUGAUAAGGUACAUGAAUUUUCUUAAAAGUCACUUUAAGGGAAACUGAUAAACCUUUAAGCCAAGGUAAAAUUUUAUACAGUAUAUUUAUACAGCGAAUGUGAUUUAAUUAGUUGUAACAUGUAUAUGUUUACAGCUGAAUUUGAAAUGCACAAUAAAAGUGUCUAAAAUAUGUAUUUGUAGGUAAUAUAUUCUAUAUUAUGGUGUAUUGUUUUUAAUAAAAUGUGC